AGAAAAAAAAACUUUUUUUCCCCUUUUUUAUUUUUUAUUAUUUUACCGCUGUUAGAUUAGACUUUUAUCCGAAGGAUAAACUAUUUCAAAAUAUUUAUCAGAUUUUUUAAAAUUUUAAUUUUAUUAUCUAAUAUCUUAAUUUUUAAUUUAUAUUAUUUGAGUCAGGCUACAGUACUUUUACGUCAAAAUUUUAGAUAAUUAUUACUUUAAUAAAUUUAUAGUUACAAGAGUUGCAGGAAGUAUAUUAACUAAAUCUAUAUAGAUGACGACGUAUUUAAAAUUUUGAAGUUAAAACAUUAUUGGCUAUUUUAAAUUCAGUAAAUUGAAAAGUUGAAUAAUAAAAAUAAAAUUUUGAAAUGUCAAAUAGCCAUUUCAAAAUGAUCUACAGUUCGAAUAAGUUUUAUACAUUUUUUACCUAAUCUAUGAAGUGCUUUUAAGUUUUGACUCUCAAAUCUUAAUUUAUUAUAAAAUCUGAUUAAUUUUUUAAAUUAUUAUGUAAAUAUGCAAAAGUUAUCUAAACUGCGGAUUAUUUUUAAUUUGGCUAACUAACCUUUCAAAAUUUUGAUUUUAUUAUCCAAUAUUUCAGUUUGUUUUAUUUGAAUUAGUUAACAAUAUUUUAACUUCAAAAUUUGAAUACAUAGUUUAUCUUUUCAAGUAUAGUUAGAUACAUCACGUAAUUUUUACAAUUAUGAAUUCAUUAAAGUAACUAACUAGUUUAAAUUUUAAAGUAAAAAUAUCAUUAACUAAC
rnacentral:lncRNA from 1 species